UGGGGAAUAUUGCGCAAUGGGCGGAAGCCUGACGCAGCGACGCCGCGUGGGGGAUGAAGGCCUUCGGGUUGUAAACCUCUUUUACCACUCACGAAGGCCCCUGGUUUUCUGGGGGUUGACGGUAGGUGGUGAAUAAGGACCGGCUAACUACGUG
rnacentral:rRNA from 1 species